rnacentral:rRNA from 1 species
GAACGGGUGAGUAACACGUGAGUAACCUGCCUUACACAAGGGGAUAGCCUUUGGAAACGAAGAAUAAUACCCUAUAAAGUCAAAAUAUCGCAUGAUAUAGUGACCAAAGAUUUAUCGGUGUAAGAUGGACUUGCGUCUGAUUAGCUAGUUGGUGAGAUAAAAGCCCACCAAGGCGACGAUCAGUAGCCGGCUUGAGAGAGUGUACGGCCACAUUGGGACUGAGACACGGCCCAAACUCCUACGGGAGGCAGCAGUGGGGAAUUUUGCACAAUGGGGGAAACCCUGAUGCAGCGACGCCGCGUGAUUUAGAAGGCCUUCGGGUUGUAAAAAUCUUUUUUAUGGGAUGAAAAUGACAGUACC